rnacentral:rRNA from 1 species
GCGAGGGGACGGCGCCGCCCCCGGGGGCUCGUGAUAUCUCAUCUCGCCGCCCGUCGCGAGGCGGACGGAGGGAUGGAUGAGGUUACCUAGGAAAAAAAGUCGGGGCGAUCUAGGCGGGCGAACCUCGCCAACGAACGAUCGGACAGUGGGAUAACGGAAGAGGGCGUCGGCUCGACUUCGUCGGUCCUCGGGCCGGGGCACGUACGGUGAAUAGGGACGGUCGGGGCCGCCCGUACCGGGGUCGUGAGAGGUGAAAUUCUAGGAUCGACCCGAGACGAACCGCCGCGAAAGCAUUCGGCAAGGACGCUUUCAUUAAUCAAGAACGAAAGUCGGGGGGAUCGAAGACGAUCAGAUACCGUCGUAGUCCCGACCGUAAACGAUGCCGACCGAGGGCCCGGAGGAGUUACGUACGACCCCUCCGGGGCCCUCCCGCGAGAAAUCAGGAGUAUUCGGGUUCCGGGGGG